rnacentral:rRNA from 1 species
AACGUAGGAGGCAAGCGUUAUCCGGAUUUACUGGGCGUAAAGCGCGUGCAGGCGGUUUGGUAAGUUGGAUGUGAAAGCUCCCGGCUCAACUGGGAGAGGUCGUUCAAAACUACCAGACUUGAGGGCGGUAGAGGGAAGUGGAAUUCCGUGUGUAGUGGUGAAAUGCGUAGAUAUACGGAGGAACACCAGUGGCGAAAGCGGCUUCCUGGACCGAUCCUGACGCUCAGACGCGAAAGCUAGGGGAGCAAACGGGAUUAGAGACCCCGGUAGUCCUAGCUGUAAACGAUGUGAACUUGGCGUCGGUGGGUUUAAAUCCAUCGGUGCCGUAGCUAACGCGAUAAGUUCACCGCCUGGGGACUACGGCCGCAAGGUUAAA